rnacentral:rRNA from 1 species
CCUACGGGUGGCUGCAGUGAGGAAUAUUGGUCAAUGGACGCAAGUCUGAACCAGCCAUGCAGCGUGAAGGAUGACGGCUCUAUGAGUUGUAAACUUCUUUUAUAAGGGGAUAAACCCAGAUACGUGUAUCGGGUUGAAAGUAUCUUACGAAUAAGGAUCGGCUAACUCCGUGCCAGCAGCCGCGGUAAUACGGAGGAUCCGAGCGUUAUCCGGAUUUAUUGGGUUUAAAGGGUGCGUAGUUGGGUUGAUAAGUUAGAGGUGAAAUGUCGGGGCUCAACCCCGAAACUGCCUCUGAUACUGUUGGACUUGAGAAUAGUUGCGGUAAGCGGAAUGCAUGGUGUAGCGGUGAAAUGCUUAGAGAUCAUACAGAACACCGAUUGCGAAGGCAGCUUACCAAACUAUAUCUGACGUUGAGGCACGAAAGCGUGGGUAGCAAACAGGAUUAGAUACCCGAGUAGUC